UACGUAGGGUGCGAGCGUUGUCCGGAAUUAUUGGGCGUAAAGAGCUUGUAGGCGGUUUGUCGCGUCUGCUGUGAAAAUCCGGGGCUCAACCCCGGACUUGCAGUGGGUACGGGCAGACUAGAGUGUGGUAGGGGAGACUGGAAUUCCUGGUGUAGCGGUGGAAUGCUCAGAUAUCAGGAGGAACACCGAUGGCGAAGGCAGUUCUCUGGGCCGUAACUGACGCUGAGGAGCGAAAGCGUGGGGAGCGAACAGG
rnacentral:rRNA from 1 species